GCAGCCGAUUGGACAGCGCCAGAGUCCCCUUGCCCCGCCCCACGCGCCCCAUUGAAGAGGGAGCCAAAGGGAGACGCCCCCGGCCCGCCACCAUUGGGCAGCGGAUAUGAAUUUGCCCAUUUGCGGACAGCCAUAGGAUAAUUCGUAACGAGGCAAAACUGGGAGACGAGUUCCCGCCAAACCAAAAAUGAUCGGAAUAGGAGCGAACCCCGCAAUCUCCCUCUCUCUCGUGCUAUUUCCACCACUGGCAGAACCUGCUUUUAUGUCAGGUUCAUAUACCUGGGCUUGACUGCGGCCUUGCGGAGUCCAGCACAAGGCGUUGCUUCCCUGAUUUUGGAAAAUUUCCAAGUGCGUUGUCCCCCAGAGGCUGGGGGUUGGUCGGUUGUUUCUGGACGUGUCCCUUGCGCAGGCAAGCCUUCCGCCCACCUUGUGCCGAGCCGCUUGCCGGAGAACCCUGCGCUCCUCUUUUGGCUGCGCUUUUCUGCACAACUUGGCGACAUCCCGCCAGCUUGCAAGACGGAUCAAGUUGAAGAAUGAGAAAAGAAAACAUUGUCCCCAAAAUCUCUAUAUAUACAUCAAUAAAUUAAGGUAUAUUGUCCAGCUAAUAAAUGCAAUGCAAAAAUGAAUAAACAUUUGAGGUAUUGAAGUAUGCAGUAAACUAGGGGUGGCUAACUAUAUUUGGCUAACCUUGGGCAGCCCUCCAGGGCCUGCAUACCAGCAAUGAUGUCCAGUGACUGACAGGUGGGUAGCCAUGUUCACUAGUCAAAGCUGGCCUGCACAGGGGUGGGGUGGGAAGAUAAAGAUCUGGUUUGCCAAGCCAAAAAAAUUAUUCACCCUGGCUUAGAACUUGGAUAUCUGAGGGAGCACCUUCUAACUUAUGGGCCUGCCUAAGUGCCACACUUGUCAGGGAUUGAAAAUGCUGCAACCUGAGGAAGGGCACUCUGGUUAUUCCUCAGAUAGAGUUGGUGUCUGGUUUUACUGUUUGUUGAUGGCUUACAUGGUUUUAUGGUAUUGCACUUCCACUUUGGGAUAAUUUGGUAAUAAAAAGCAACAUGUAACACAUUUUAAUAAAUAAAUACCAUGUGGUGGUACUUUAGCUGAAUCUACUUCUUACUGAAUCUGAUAUUCUUUAUGUGCCAACACGAGAAAGGGCCUUUUUGGUGGUGGCUCUCCAUUUGUGGAAGGCUCUCCCCAGCGGGAAUCACCUGGUGCCUUCAUUACAUAUCUUUAGGCACCAGGCCAAACUGUUCCUCUUCCGUUAGGUCUUUGCCUGAUUAAACAAUCGAAACAUGGACCACUUAUAAACUCCAUCUCCAAUUCCUUGAAAGAUUCCAUCAACGGUGUCUCCGAAAAAUUUUACACAUCACUUGGGAAGGCUGGAGAACUAAUGACAAUGAACUGGAAGAAGCAAUGAUCACCAGUGUUGAAGCAAUGAUUCUUCAACAUCAACUUCGUUGGACUGGUCACAUUGUUCAGAUGCCUUCCAAAGCAACUACUCUACUCCCAACUUAAGAAUGGAAAGCAAAAUGGACAACAAAAGAGGUUUAAAGAUGCUCUCAAGGCAAAUCUUAAAAAAUGUACAGUAGUUUAAACACUGAUAACUGGGGAACACUGGCCUGCAAGUGCUCCAAUUGGAGAAUAGACUUUACCAAAGGUGCCAUGGACUUUGAAGAAGCAUGAACUCAGGGCAAAAAGGAGAAAGGAGCUAAGAAUAAAGCACUUUUGGCAAACCCUCAGCGGAAACCUAUGUCCCCACUGUGGAAGGACGUGUGGAUCCAGAAUUGGCCUUCACAGUCACUUACACACUCACUGUUAAGACCAUUUUAUUGGAAAACAAUCUUAUUCGGCUAGAAGUGAUUGCCAAAGAAAGAUGGGCUUUUAAAUGUGCUUGUAGGAGGGGUUUUUUAUGUUGUUUUUAAUUUUUAUGUUAUAAUGUUAUGUAUUUUGCAUUUGCAUUUUGCAUUUUUAUGUUGUACAGUAGACAGUAUAGAACACCCCACUUUUUUCUUAUCUGAUAGCAUGAUUCAAGUAUCCCUUCUAAAUUUAAUCCUACCAGAUGUUCCCCACAUAUACCUAUUGCUUAACAACUCUUCUUCUUCAAAUUCAGUAUUGUAAUAGGUGGCUGUCAAAGGAGACAGCCCAGGAGUUAACAUGUUCUUGGAUUUCUGCCAGUUCACAAAUAGAGCGCUAGUACACAAAUAGAUCUCUGUCUCUAGGGGUAGAAUUUAAUAGUUAAUAAAAGUUUUUGAUUGCAAUACCAUAAUGCAUGCUUUAAAUUUGCUCUUAUGCCUUGCUGCUCCAAGGUCAAUAAGGAACUUUCUCAUGGUAUUUGGUGUUAACAUGCAACUUGGAAGCUUAACUGAAACACUGUUGAAGAAGCACACUUUACGCUGAGACUCGUUGAGUUUUGAAUAUAAGAAAGCCAGGCUUAUUAAAGGAAACACAUUCUUGAUAGGAAAGAUCCUAGUUCUCACUCAGGUGGAGAUACAUAGAGCUAUGUUUGCUCACUGAUGUCUGCUGGAGAGACUCAUGAAGAUGUCUCAUCUCCCAGGAUGAGCAUGAAGAAAAGGAAGUAGGAAAUGAGGCCAGGGGCUCUGAGAGUAUCAGUAUAAUACUGAAUAAAUAGAUCAGCAAAAGGAAGACUGGAGGUUCCUCCCUAUUUACCCUCCCCAUGCCAGUCUACAAAGCAAGGUGCGUUGAAUCCCAACGCCUCCCUCAGACAAAAAUUUAAAAUGGGCUAGCAUGGCUACUUUAUAAUUCCACUUUAAGCCGGGGUCAGUGGGGCUUCCUUUUAAGCACUUAGGACUGUAGCCUGUCAUAAAUGGAUGUAUAUGCAAUGGUUCAUGAGCAUAUAAAAAGUAUUGAUUAAAAAUAUGAUAAAUAUUGUUUUAAAGGAAA